rnacentral:rRNA from 1 species
GAUUAACGCUGGCGGCGUGCAUAACACAUGCAAGUCGAACGAUGAAACUUAAAUGAUUUCUUCGGAAUGAACUUAAGUGGAUUAGUGGCGGACGGGUGAGUAACGCGUGAGUAACCUGCCUUACACAAGGGGAUAGCCGUUGGAAACGACGAAUAAUACCCUAUGAAACUAUCACUUCGCAUGAAGCGAUAGUCAAAGUGUUAGCGGUGUAAGAUGGACUUGCGUCUGAUUAGCUAGUUGGUGAGAAAAAAGCCCACCAAGGCAACGAUCAGUAGCCGGCUUGAGAGAGUGUACGGCCACAUUGGGACUGAGACACGGCCCAGACUCCUACGGGAGGCAGCAGUGGGGAAUUUUGCACAAUGGGGGAAACCCUGAUGCAGCGACGCCGCGUGAUUUAGAAGGCCUUCGGGUUGUAAAAAUCUUUUGUAUAGGAAGAAAAUGGCAGUACUAUACGAAUAAGGUCCGGCUAAUUACGUG